UACCUGAUUGAUCCUGCCAGUAGUCAUAUGCUUGUCUCAAAGAUUAAGCCAUGCAUGUCUAAGUAUGAACUAAUUCAGACUGUGAAACUGCGGAUGGAUCAUUAAAUCAGCUAUAUUGUUUUUGAUGGUACCCUACUACUCGUAUAACCAUAGUAAUUCUAGAGCUAAUAUGUGCACCAAGUCCCAACUCUUUGGAACGGAUGCAUUUAUUAGAUAAAAUUCUGGUGCGCGCUUGCCCGCUUCUCUAUUGAAUCAUGAUAACUCGAUGGAUCACACAACCCUUGUGCUAGCAAUGCUUCAUUCAAAUUUAUUCCCUAUCAACUUUUAAUGGUAGGAUAGAGGCCUACCAUGGUGGUGACAGGUGAUGAAGAAUUAGGGUUCGAUUCUGGAGAGGGAGCCUGAGAAAUGACUACCACAUCCAAGGAAGGUAGCAGGCAAGAAAAUUACCCAAUCAUGACAUGGGGGGGUAGUGACAAUAAAUAAAAAUAAUGGGCUCAUCGAGUCUGGUAAUUGGAAUGAGUACAAUCUAAAUCCCUUAACGAGGAUCCAUUGGAGGGAAAGUCUGGUGCCAACAGUCACGGUAAUUCUAGCUCCAAUAUCAUAUAUUUAAUUUGUUGCAGUUAAAAAUCUUGUAGUUGGAUCUUCGAUCGUAAAGGUCAGUCUGCCUACUCGAUGUGCACCUACCCUUCCAUCCCUUUUGCUGCUAGCAUGCUCCUGGCCUUAAUUGGUUUGGUCGUGGUUCCGACAUUGUUACUUUGAAAAAAUCAGAUUUCUCAAAGCAAGCUUAUGCUCUGAAUACAUUAGCAUGGAAUAAUGUGAUAGGAGUCUGGUCCUAUUGUGUUGGCCUUUGGGACCAGAGUAAUGAUUAAUAGGGACUGUCGAGGGAAUUCGUAUUUCAUUGUCAGAGGUGAAAUUAUUGGAUUUAUGAAAGAUGAACCACUGUGAAAGAAUUUGCCAAGGAUUUUUUCAUUAAUCAAGAGCGAAAGUUUGGGGCUCGAAGAUGAUCAGAUACUGUCCUAGCCUCAACCAUAAAUGAUACCGACCAAGGAUCGAUAGAUGUUUCUCUAAGGAAUCCACCAACAACUUAUGAGAAAUUAGAGUGUUUGGGUUCUAGGGGAAUAUGGUCGCAAGGCUGAAACUUAAAGGCCAUAUUAAAAAAUCUCUUGGUCGCCCAACCUCGGCCAGGCCAUAU
rfam:Picea glauca, whole genome shotgun sequence.